CAUGACCCCAGAUCAGACGGACCACCCG
rnacentral:rRNA from 1 species